GGCUAUUUGCAAAAGACUGUAAUGCAAACAUUAGAGUGAUUGACAGGAGCAUGUGACAGUCACAUGGGAGCCUAAGGGUCAGGAUCUGGGUAAAGAUUCUAAGGCCCCAACAGUCUUGGCACUUCUCUCCUGAAGGACCUUGGGUUGGAGGUUUGAAAACAGGUUUCUGGCUUUUGGUGAUACCAGAUGAAGAGAGGAAUCUUUUGAACUAGCUGCUGGCAGCUAGAACAGAGGACUGAGGAUCCACUUCACUGGACCUGUUUGGACAGUUUUCAUCUGACGAUCCUGGCCCAUAUGAUUGGACUCCACUUAGCAGUAACAUUCCAUCACAAUCAUCUGCUACAACAUGUUGAGUCAUUCCCCGAUUGAUGGGCAUCCCUUCAAUUUCCAGUUCUUUGCCACCACAAAGAGAGUUCAUUUUACACCUAAAAAACUGAGGCCACAGGGUGAAAUGACUUGCCUAGGACCACCCAGCUGCUGUCUGAGGCUAGCUUUGAACUCUAGCCUUCCUGACUCCAGGCCUGGCACUCUGCACCACCUAGCAAGUCAACAAGGUAGGGACAGGCUUGCAGUAUUUAUGUCUCUUCUCCACUUCAUAUUUUGUGUCUGGGCAUUUAAAAAAAAUACCGUCGGGAUGCUCUCCCCAGUCCUCUCUCUCCCUUCCUGGCCCACCCCAAGUAGAGGUCCUGCCUUGGGAUGAGUCUAUAGAAUCAAGCAAAACAAAGCUGCAUGUUGGCGCUGUCUCGGAGCAGGCCUUGUCUGCACCUCUCCUCAUCUCGAGGUUCUUCCUGAUCGGCCCGCUGGCAGUCUGAUGAAACCCGGCCAGUCCUUCUCACAAUAAAGUUUCUAAAUGCAUAAAAUAAAGCCA
rnacentral:lncRNA from 1 species